UACGUAGGAGGCAAGCGUUGUCCGGAAUUACUGGGCGUAAAGCGCGUGUAGGUGGUGGGACAAGUCUGCUGUGAAAGCGCCUGGCUUAACCGGGCGAGGUCGGCGGAAACUGUCCGACUCGAGGACGGUAGAGGGGGGUGGAAUUCCCGGUGUAGUGGUGAAAUGCGUAGAGAUCGGGAGGAACACCUGUGGCGAAGGCGGGCCCCUGGGCCGGCCCUGACGCUGAGACGCGAAGGCGUGGGGAGCGAACGGG
rnacentral:rRNA from 1 species